UUGAACGCUGGCGGCAGGCUUAACACAUGCAAGUCGAACGGUAACAGGAAGCAGCUUGCUGUUUCGCUGACGAGUGGCGGACGGGUGAGUAAUGUCUGGGAAACUGCCUGAUGGAGGGGGAUAACUACUGGAAACGGUAGCUAAUACCGCAUAACGUCGCAAGACCAAAGAGGGGGACCUUCGGGCCUCUUGCCAUCGGAUGUGCCCAGAUGGGAUUAGCUAGUAGGUGGGGUAACGGCUCACCUAGGCGACGAUCCCUAGCUGGUCUGAGAGGAUGACCAGCCACACUGGAACUGAGACACGGUCCAGACUCCUACGGGAGGCAGCAGUGGGGAAUAUUGCACAAUGGGCGCAAGCCUGAUGCAGCCAUGCCGCGUGUAUGAAGAAGGCCUUCGGGUUGUAAAGUACUUUCAGCGGGGAGGAAGGGAGUAAAGUUAAUACCUUUGCUCAUUGACGUUACCCGCAGAAGAAGCACCGGCUAACUCCGUGCCAGCAGCCGCGGUAAUACGGAGGGUGCAAGCGUUAAUCGGAAUUACUGGGCGUAAAGCGCACGCAGGCGGUUUGUUAAGUCAGAUGUGAAAUCCCCGGGCUCAACCUGGGAACUGCAUCUGAUACUGGCAAGCUUGAGUCUCGUAGAGGGGGGUAGAAUUCCAGGUGUAGCUGUGAAAUGCGUAGAGAUCUGGAGGAAUACCGGUGGCGAAGGCGGCCCCCUGGACGAAGACUGACGCUCAGGUGCGAAAGCGUGGGGAGCAAACAGGAUUAGAUACCCUGGUAGUCCACGCCGUAAACGAUGUCGACUUGGAGGUUGUGCCCUUGAGGCGUGGCUUCCGGAGCUAACGCGUUAAGUCGACCGCCUGGGGAGUACGGCCGCAAGGUUAAAACUCAAAUGAAUUGACGGGGGCCCGCACAAGCGGUGGAGCAUGUGGUUUAAUUCGAUGCAACGCGAAGAACCUUACCUGGUCUUGACAUCCACAGAACUUUCCAGAGAUGGAUUGGUGCCUUCGGGAACUGUGAGACAGGUGCUGCAUGGCUGUCGUCAGCUCGUGUUGUGAAAUGUUGGGUUAAGUCCCGCAACGAGCGCAACCCUUAUCCUUUGUUGCCAGCGGUCCGGCCGGGAACUCAAAGGAGACUGCCAGUGAUAAACUGGAGGAAGGUGAGGAUGACGUCAAGUCAUCAUGGCCCUUACGACCAGGGCUACACACGUGCUACAAUGGCGCAUACAAAGAGAAGCGACCUCGCGAGAGCAAGCGGACCUCAUAAAGUGCGUCGUAGUCCGGAUUGGAGUCUGCAACUCGACUCCAUGAAGUCGGAAUCGCUAGUAAUCGUGGAUCAGAAUGCCACGGUGAAUACGUUCCCGGGCCUUGUACACACCGCCCGUCACACCAUGGGAGUGGGUUGCAAAAGAAGUAGGUAGCUUAACCUUCGGGAGGGCGCUUACCACUUUGUGAUUCAUGACUGGGGUG
rnacentral:rRNA from 1 species